GCUUGGUGGCUUGCAGGGUAAAGCGUCUGCCUGCAAUGCAGGAGACCCAGGUUCAAUCCCUGAGUCUGGCA
rnacentral:tRNA from 1 species